rfam:Stomoxys calcitrans breed 8C7A2A5H3J4 unplaced genomic scaffold Scaffold129, whole genome shotgun sequence.
UAUCAUAUGAUGCCAAACUGUCACUGAUUCUAAAACUUAUGCCCUAUUUUUGGGAAAGUUUAUGGAAAUUUUAAGGGAUGUUCGCUUAUGCGAGGCAUUUGUCUGAUGAUAAA